AGCUCAGCAGGAGCGCAGAGAGCUCAGUUUUACGUGAGAAAGCGUUACAGGAUCAGAGACAUAAAAUCAAUCCAAGCUGAAGGAGAGGCUGAGGCCGCCAAGAUGUUGGGAGAGGCCUUGACGAAGAACCCCGGCUACCUGAAGCUGAGGAAGAUCCGGGCGGCGCAGAGCAUCGCCAAGACGAUGGCGACGUCUCAGAACAGAGUUUACCUGAACGCCGACAGCCUGGUGCUGAACCUGCAGGACAAAGACAACUUCAAUUCAUUGAUGGGGAAUUAAAGAGGAUUUCCCAUCAUGCCUUGUGGUCCGCAUCUCCAGGAAGGAAUCGUCACGUCGGAUCUACUCUGUGAAUCUGUGAAGUUUACGCGUCACUAAAACUGACUAUUUGGAAAGGGUCCUCUGGUGUUGGCUUCACACUUCAGCUUCAUGUUUUACAAUCGUCUGUCGAUCUCAUCCAGAAUUAGGAAAAUGUUCUUUAUGUGAUCAAAUAAAUCUGUGCUCUUUCUUCAUAUAUAUUAUUUAUGUAGAUUUGGACACAGCGUUAGAAGAAGUGAAAAUAACACGUUUUGUAUUUCCUGAUCUGACUUCAUCAUCAUUUAGGAAGCUUGAAAUGCAAAUGAAGCACCAGUUUCAGAAGUAAAAUGUGUAAACAUGUUGUUUUACCAACAUCAGAGGAGUCUUUUCUGCAAAAUCACAUGAAGAUAUUAUUGUGGUUCAUAAAAUAAAGUUGUGACGAUAAACGGUGAGAUAGCAGCUGAAAUAUUACUCAUUUAUUCUUAUUAUGUUUGUCUUUAUUUCCUCUUCUUCUCUGAUUAAUCUGCUGAUUUAUUGUUUAGUUUUGGUCUUGUUAAUUUUAUAAAAGUUCAAGAGCUCAUGACGAUGA